rnacentral:rRNA from 1 species
AGAGUUUGAUCCUGGCUCAGAGCGAACGCUGGCGGCAGGCUUAACACAUGCAAGUCGAGCGCUCGUAGCAAUACGAGAGCGGCAGACGGGAGAGUAACACGUGGGAACGUACCCUUCGGUUCGGAACAACCCAGGGAAACUUGGGCUAAUACCGGAUACGUCCGUAAGGAGAAAGAUUUAUCGCCGAAGGAUCGGCCCGCGUCUGAUUAGCUAGUUGGUGAGGUAACGGCUCACCAAGGCGACGAUCAGUAGCUGGUCUGAGAGGAUGAUCAGCCUCACUGGGACUGAGACACGGCCCAGACUCCUACGGGAGGCAGCAGUGGGGAAUAUUGGACAAUGGGCGCAAGCCUGAUCCAGCCAUGCCGCGUGGGUGAUGAAGGCCCUAGGGUUGUAAA